UCCUCUGGCAAACUAGUCCUGUGGUCCUCAGGUUCUCUGGCAGACUAGUCCUCUGGUCCUCAGGUCCUCUGGCAAACUAGUCCUCUGGUCCUCAGGUCCUCUGGCAAACUAGUCCUCUGGUCCUCAGGUCCUCUGGCAGACUAGUCCUCUGGUCCUCAGGCCCUCUGGCAGACUAGUCCUCUGGUCCUCAGGCCCUCUGGCAGACUAGUCCUCUGGUCCUCAGGCCCUCUGGCAGACUAGUCAUCUGUUCCUCAGGUCCUCUGGCAAACUAGUCCUCUGGUCCUCAGGUCCUCUGGCAGACUAGUCCUCUGGUCCUCAGGCCCUCUGGCAGACUAGUCAUCUGUUCCUCAGGUCCUCUGGCAAACUAGUCCUCUGGUCCUCAGGUCCUCUGGCAAACUAGUCCUCUGGUCCUCAGGUCCUCUGGCAGACUAGUCCUCUGGUCCUCAGGCCCUCUGGCAGACUAGUCCUCUGGUCCUCAGGCCCUCUGGCAGACUAGUCCUCUGGUCCUCAGGCCCUCUGGCAGACUAGUCAUCUGUUCCUCAGGUCCUCUGGCAAACUAGUCCUCUGGUCCUCAGGUCCUCUGGCAGACUAGUCCUCUGGUCCUCAGGCCCUCUGGCAGACUAGUCAUCUGUUCCUCAGGUCCUCUGGCAAACUAGUCCUCUGGUCCUCAGGUCCUCUGGCAGACUAGUCCUCUGGUCCUCAGGCCCUCUGGCAGACUAGUCAUCUGUUCCUCAGGUCCUCUGGUAAAC